rnacentral:rRNA from 1 species
UACGUAGGGGGCUAGCGUUGUCCGGAAUCAUUGGGCGUAAAGCGCGUGUAGGCGGUCCGGUAAGUCCGCUGUGAAAGUCGGGGGCUCAACCCUCGAAUGCCGGUGGAUACUGUCGGGCUAGAGUGCGGAAGAGGCGAGUGGAAUUCCUGGUGUAGCGGUGAAAUGCGCAGAUAUCAGAAGGAACACCAAUUGCGAAGGCAGCUCGCUGGGACGUUACUGACGCUGAGACGCGAAAGCGUGGGGAGCAAACAGG